rnacentral:rRNA from 1 species
UUGCCUACGGGGGGCAGCAGUGAGGAAUAUUGGUCAAUGGGCGAAAGCCUGAACCAGCAACGCCGCGUGAGGGAUGAAGGCCUUCGGGUCGUAAACCUCUUUUCUGGGAGAAGAGACAAGGACGGUAUCCCAGGAAUAAGUCUCGGCUAACUACGUGCCAGCAGCCGCGGUAAAACGUAGGAGGCAAGCGUUAUCCGGAUUUACUGGGCGUAAAGCGCACGCAGGCGGCUGCGUAAGUCGGACGUGAAAGCUCCUGGCUCAACUGGGAGAGGGCGUUCGAAACUGCGCGGCUUGAGGUUGGAAGAGGAGAGCGGAAUUCCCGGUGUAGUGGUGGAAUGCGUAGAUAUCGGGAGGAACACCAGUGGCGAAAGCGGCUCUCUGGUCCACACCUGACGCUCAGGUGCGAAAGCGUGGGUAGCGAACGGGAUUAGAUACCCCGGUAGUCA